GCCUGGGUGGCUUAGUCGGUUGAGCGUGUGACUUUUGAUCUCGUGGUUCGUGGGUUCGAGCCCCGCGUCGGGCU